rnacentral:lncRNA from 1 species
UUAUUACCUUAAUUUAUGCAUAUACGUACAUACAUGCACGUGCAUAUAUAUUCUCUUGCUUCUGAUUUGGCCCUCCUUUCUGCAGUUAAAUUCUUGCUUUCUCUUCUUGUUUCCAUUUCGGUUUUCUUUUUGUUGGUUAUAUAUCUUUCCGAUCUCGACGAUACUCUGGGUUGUGGAUAUAGUUGGAUUUGCUGUGUCUGGUUCGGCUGUGGGCGUGGAUCGGUGCAGAUCUGUUUUUGUUUCUGCUUUCUGAUUUCUUGAUGCACAGCAGCUGUGUUGCUCAUCUAAGCAGAUAUAUCAUGGAUCGACUGCUGGGGUAACUCGAUCUCCUUCCUCGGUUCGGAUCUACUCCUUCCCUUAGCUAUAUUGCUUCGAUUUGAUCGAUGUGCUUAAUUGAUUCUUUCUAGAACAAAGCAGAUCAAUCAAAGACAGAUGGAUGUCAACGUAGGGUCACGCUUAGGUUUUUGUUGUGGAGAUGUAUCGAUUAGUUCUGUGCCAAGCAAAUUUGACGAUCUGAAACUUUCAGUUUUGUGCUGGAUCGAUGUUUAAAACAUAGCUGUUGUUACCUAGCUUCUUCGCAGUUUUGGUUCCUCUUAAAACCCUGACUUUUCUGGCAGUUCGAAUUUCCUUUUCUUUUUCUUCAUUUGAUCGAUGUUUAAUGUAUAUUUAUUAUCCGAUGCAAAUAUUUAUCUCUCUUCGAUUUAUGGAAAGACGACUAUAUAUUCCUUUCAGUUGUGUGUGUGCACGUACGUGCAGUCCAGCAUUGGGAUUUUUAUUUUUUUUGACUGGGGCCACAGGGCCAGCAUGGGAUCUUCUACCAAUCUAUCCCUUUUUAGGUAAUAAAUCAGUUAUUCUUUUAAAAGCAAUACAAUCAGAUAGAAACAGAAAACAAGCAAGGUCCCGGCUAUUGCAUCUUUGGCUAGAAAACCUACACAAGCUAGCUAGCUUGAUUUUUUUUUGCACAAAAGCUAGCUUGGAUCUCCUCCAAUAGCUUUUAAAGCUGCAAUAUAAACUCAUCUACAAUGGGCGACAAAGGCAUCACUGUUCGUACAUCAGUCUAGGACACGACACACCCCGAGCCUAGCAGGCGGUAUCAGAUCUAGAGUAGUCAUCAAUCCAGCACAUUGUACAUGGAGUCUCAUAUCCAGAAUGAAGAAGGCCGUAGUAGACAAGACAACAACAACACAGAAACCCACAAGAUAUACAUUGGAGCAGAUCCGCGAGAACAUACCCUCAUUGUCUCCAUGCCGAUGUAUGGUGAACAAGACGUUGCCCUUGACAGGGAUAUAGAGCCAGAGGCACUUAUAUUUCCAUGCAACGAUGUUUCAAUGGCCA